GCAACUCGCUCCGGCCGCUGGGCGUAGCUGCGACUCGGCGGAGUCCCGGCGGCGCGUGCUUGUUCUGACCUGGCGCGCCAUGACCGUCGCGCGGCCGAGCGUGCCCGCGGCGCUGCCCCUCCUCGGGGAGCUGCUCUGGCUGCUGCUGCUGGUGCUGUUGUGCCUGCCGGCUGUGUGGGGUGACUGUGGCCUUCCCCCAGAUGUACCUAAUGCCCAGCCAGCUUUGGAAGGCCGUACAAGUUUUCCCGAGGAUACCGUAGUAACGUACAAAUGUGAAGAAAGCUUUAUGAAAAUUCCUGGCAAGAAGGACUCAGUGAUCUGCCUUAAGGGCAGUCAAUGGUCAGAUAUUGAAGAGUUCUGCAAUCGUAGCUGCGAGGUGCCAACCAGGCUAAAUUUUGCAUCCCUCAAACAGCCUUAUAUCACUCAGAAUUAUUUUCCAGUCGGUACUACUGUGGAAUAUGUGUGCCGUCCAGGUUACAGAAGAGAACUUUCUCUAUCAACAAAACUAACUUGCCUUCAGAAUUUAACAUGGUCCACAGCAGUUGAAUUUUGUAAAAAGAAAUCAUGCCCUAAUCCUGGAGAAAUCCAAAAUGGUCAGAUUGAUGUAUCAAAUGGCAUAUUAUUUGGUGCAACCAUCUCCUUCUCAUGUAACACAGGGUACAAAUUAUUUGGGCCGACUUCUAGUUUAUGUCUUAUUUCAGGCAGCUCUGUCCAGUGGAGUGACCCGUUGCCAGAGUGCAGAGAAAUUUAUUGUCCAGCACCACCACAAAUUGACAAUGGAAUAAUUCAAGGGAAACGUGACCAUUAUGGAUAUAGACAGUCUAUAACGUAUGCAUGUAAUAAAGGAUACACCAUGAUUGGAGAGCACUCUAUUUAUUGUACUGUGAAUGAUGAUGAAGGAGAAUGGAGUGGCCCACCACCUGAAUGCAGAGGAAAAUCUCUAACUUCCAAGGUCCCACCAACAGUUCAGAAACCUACCACAGUAAAUGUUCCAACUACAGAAGUCUCACCAACUUCUCAGAAAACCACCACAAAAACCACCACACCAAAUGCUCAAGCAACACGGAGUACACCUGUUUCCAGAACAACCAAGCAUUUUCAUGAAACAACCCCAAAUAAAGGAAGUGGAACCACUUCAGGUCAGUUGACACUGUUCAGGUUUACUGACUAUGGAUCUAAUGUGCUAUGGUGGAAAUAGGAAUUUGACCAAGAUUGCAGGAUUAAAUGGUCUCAAUUUAUUGUAGCCAGGGUUUUUCACACUAAUACUUUUUACUUUAUUUGGAAGUGGACUUGGAUUGUACUAGGGCAAAUCUUUAAAAAAAGAAACAUUUACAGUAAUAGAGAAAAAGACUGUGGCCCCAUUAAAAAAAUGCUAAAUUAAGAUUGGU
rnacentral:sRNA from 1 species